rnacentral:rRNA from 1 species
AGAGAGAGACAUGCGUGCAUAUCAAUAAGCGGAGGAAAAGAAACUAACUAGGAUUCCCUCAGUAACGGCGAGUGAAGCGGGAAGAGCUCAAAUUUGAAAUCUUAAAGGGUUUCCCUUGACGAAUUGUAGUUUAAAGAAGUGUUUUCUGUUGGAGUUUUGGUAAAAGUUCUUUGGAAUAGGACAUCAUAGAGGGUGAGAAUCCCGUAUUUGACCAUUAUUUCCAGCUUUGUGAUACACUUUCAAAGAGUCGGAUUGUUUGGGAAUGCAGUCCAAAAUGGGUGGUAAAUUUCAUCUAAAGCUAAAUACUUGGCGAGAGACCGAUAGCGAACAAGUACCGUGAGGGAAAGAUGAAAAGAACUUUGAAAAGAGAGUUAAACAGUACGUGAAAUUGUCAAAAGGGAAGCGUUUGACACCAGUGUUGUUUUCUCGAAAAUCAAUUAAAAAAGGCAGGAUUUUGUGUUGUAUUGACUUUAUCAGCUUUCUGCACUCUUUUCUUGUCUUUUUUAAUGCACUUUUCGUUUAACAAGUCAACAUCAAUUUCUUUUGUUGUAAAAGGGUCAUUGGAAGGUGGCCUUUCUUUUCGGAGAAAGUGUUUAUAGCCUUUGGCCUCUGCAAUCGGAGAGAUUGAGGUCUAGCAGCGUAGAUCCUUCGGGGUUAGAUACAUUUGUGCUAAGUUAUAGCCUUUCAUAGACAACUUGUUGACUAUGAUCAGUCAUGUAGCUUACUCGCUUAUGCUAUUUUACCUACGCUUAGGAUGUUGAUGUGAUACUGCGAGCA